AAAGCCAGGAAACGGAUUCUCUUCUGCAGCCUCCACAAGGGAAUGAAGGCUGGCAUCUAAACUCAAUCAGCAAAAUAAAUUCAAUAAGGAAGAUUUGAAGAUCAAAGACCUUCCUCUCUCUGGCUUCACAUUUCUCAUCACUAGGGUCUUGCUCUUGCUCUGUUGCCUAGACUGGAGUGCUGUAGCAUGACUAUAGCUUACUGCAGCCUCAGCCUCCCAGGCGCAAGCAAUCCUCCCAUUCCAGCCUCCCAAGUAUCUAGAACGACAGGUGCAUGCCAACACCUCUGGCUAAUUUAUUUUAAUUUUUUUUUUGUAGAGACAGGGUCUUGCUCUGUUGCUCAGGCUGGUCUCGAAUUCCUGGGCUCAAGUGAUCCUCCUGCCUCAGCCUCACAUAGCCCUGGGAUUACAGGUGUGAACCACUGCACCCAGCCUGUAGGGUGUCCCUGCAUGAGAAUAAUAUCUAAAUCAGUAGGCUGAGUAAAGCAGAUUGCCCUUCCUAAUAUGAGUGGGCCUCAUCCAACAGUUGAAAGCCUGAAAGAACAAAAAAGCUGACCCUUCCCUGAGUAAGAGAGAAUUCUUCCUGCGUGAUGAUCUUCAAUCUGGGACAUUGACUUUUUUUCUGCCUUUGGCCUGAAACAUUGGCUCUCCCUGGGUCUCGAGCCUGCGGGCCUUUGGACUGGAACUAAAUUAUCAGCUCUCCUGGGCCUCCAGGUUGUCUAUUCACCCUGCAGAUCUUUCAACUUGCCAGACCCCAUAAUUAUGUGAACCAAUUCAUUAUAAAAAUAAAUCUCGAUUGCUGGCAAGAUGGCCGAACAGGAACAGCUCCGGCCUGUAGCUCCCAGCGAGAUCGACAUAGAAGCUAAGAUGGCAGCAGAAUGCUAUGUCAAUAUAUACAGAAACAAGACAACCUGAAGCUAAAUGGAUGACCCCUGCAGAGUCAACAGGUCCAGCCUUACACUGUAUGCCCUGCGCUACGGCCCCUCCAAAAGGCAUCUUCCCCACAGCCUCAACACCAAGCAAGGAGCAUCAAGAGUUUUUCUCCGGUGUUUUGUUCUUUUUACAAACUAUAGAUAUAUACAGUUGACAACUCAGGAUUUCUAACCAAUAACCAUAUAGUUAACACCAC
rnacentral:lncRNA from 10 species